UCCAAUCGUUUGGGAAAUG
rnacentral:piRNA from 1 species